UGCAAAAGAAGUAGGUAGCUUAACCUUCGGGAGGGCGCUUACCACUUUGUGAUUCAUGACUGGGGUGAAGUCGUAACAAGGUAACCGUAGGGGAACCUGCGGUUGGAUCACCUCCUUACCUUAAAGA
rnacentral:rRNA from 1 species